rnacentral:rRNA from 1 species
UACGUAGGGGGCAAGCGUUGUCCGGAAUCAUUGGGCGUAAAGAGCGCGUAGGCGGUCCGGUAAGUCCGCUCUGAAAGCCCGGGGCUCAACCCCGGGAGGCGGGCGGAUACUGUCGGGCUAGAGUCCGGAAGAGGCGAGUGGAAUUCCUGGUGUAGCGGUGAAAUGCGCAGAUAUCAGGAGGAACACCGAUGGCGAAGGCAGCUCGCUGGGACGGUACUGACGCUGAGGCGCGAAAGCUAGGGGAGCAAACAGG